rnacentral:ncRNA from 1 species
GGAUAAAAGGUACUCCGGGGAUAACAGGCUGAUCAGGCCCAAGAGUUCACAUCGACGGCCUGGUUUGGCACCUCGAUGUCGGCUCAUCGCAUCCUGGGGCUGGAAAAGGUCCCAAGGGUUUGGCUGUUCGCCAAUUAAAGCGGUACGUGAGCUGGGUUUAGAACGUCGUGAGACAGUUCGGUCCCUAUCUGAUGCGGGCGCAGGAUAUCUGAGGGGAGCUGUCCUUAGUACGAGAGGACCGGGAUGGACGAACCUCCAGUGUACCAGUUGUCUCGCCAGAGGCAGUGCUGGGUAGCUGUGUUCGGAAGGGAUAAGCGCUGAAAGCAUCUAAGCGCCAAGCCCACCCCAAGAAUAGAUAUCCCCUCCGCCUUCGGGCGGAGCUUAAGGCCCCUGGUAGAUUACCAGGUUGAUAGGUCGCAGAUGUAAGGCCAGUAAUGGCUUUAGUCGAGCGAUACUAAUAAGCCGUGCGACUUAUUCAC